CCUACGGGAGGCAGCAGUGAGGAAUAUUGGUCAAUGGACGAGAGUCUGAACCAGCCAAGUAGCGUGAAGGAUGACUGCCCUAUGGGUUGUAAACUUCUUUUAUAUGGGAAUAAAAUGUUCCACGUGUGGGAUUUUGUAUGUACCAUAUGAAUAAGGAUCGGCUAACUCCGUCCCAGCAGCCGCGGUAAUACGGAGGAUCCGAGCGUUAUCCGGAUUUCUUGGGUUUAAGGGGAGCGUAGGUGGAUUGUUAAGUCAGUUGUGAAAGUUUGCGGCUCAACCGUAAAAUUGCAGUUGAAACUGGCAGUCUUGAGUACAGUAGAGGUGGGCGGAAUUCGUGGUGUAGCGGUGAAAUGCUUAGAUAUCACGAAGAACUCCGAUUGCGAAGGCAGCUCACUGGACUGCAACUGACACUGAGGCUCGAAAGUGUGGGUAUCAAACAGGAUUAGAUACCCCUGUAGUC
rnacentral:rRNA from 1 species